rnacentral:lncRNA from 1 species
GCAGAAUGUGCAGGUUUGUUACAGAGAUAUAUGCUUGUUUGCUGCACCUGUCAGUUUUUCAUCUACAUUAGGUAUUUCUCCUAAUGCUAUUCCCUGUUAGGUCCCCACCCUCCAACAGUCUCCAGUGUUUGAUGUUCCCCUCCCUAUGUCCAUGUAUUCUCAUUUUACAACUCCCACCUAUGAGUGAGAAAUUGCAGUGUUUGUGUGUUUGGAACUUAUUCCUUCCAGUGGGUUUGUGGUCUCGCUCACUGCAAAAAUGAAGCUGUAGACCGUUUCGGUGUGUGUUACAACUCUUAAAGGUGGUGUGUCU